rfam:Gossypium hirsutum cultivar TM-1 chromosome 2, whole genome shotgun sequence
AAUCUGUGGUGUGGGCACUUUUGAAUCAAUGUUUUGAAGCACUCUUACACAUCAUAGAAACUUUCCCAUUCCAUAUGUCUAAAGAUGACAAUCUCUCUUCUUAGUUG